GUGCUCACUUCAGCAGCACCUAUACUAAAAUUGGAACAAAAGACAAGGUUAGCAUGGCCUUUGCACAGGGAUGACAUGCAAAUUUGUGAAGCUUUCCAUAUUUUU